rnacentral:rRNA from 1 species
UUCCGGUUGAUCCUGCCGGAGGUGACUGCUAUCAGGAUUCGAUUAAGCUAUGCGAGGUGUGAGUCAUCUGGACUCGCCGAGCUGCUCAGUAACACGUAGCUAACCUGCCCUAAAGAGGAGGAUAAUCCUGCGAAAGUGGGGAUAAUACUCCAUAGUUGUUUGGUGCUGGAAUGUCCAUACAACCAAAGCUUCGGCGCUUUAGGAUGGGGCUGCGGCCUAUCAUGGCAGUUGUGAGUGUAAUGUACUCACAAACCUGUAACGGGUAAGGGUCAUGAAAGUGAGAGCCCUGAGAUGCUUUCUGAGACAUGAAAGCAGGUCCUACGGGACGCAGCAAGCGCGAAACCUUUCCAAUGGCUAAGCGGUCGAGAAGGGAAUCCUGAGUGAUUGUACUUAGUAUAGUCUUUUGUCUUGUGUAAAUAGCAAGACGAAUAAGUGGUGGGUAAGACGGGUGGCAGCCGCCGCGGUAAUACCCGCGCCACGAGUGGUGAUCACUAUUAUUUGGUUUAAAGCGUCCGUAGCCGGUUUAGCAAGUUCUUGGUGAAAUCUGGCAGCUAACUGUUGGGCGUGCUGAGAAUACUACUAGACUUGGGAUUGGGAGAGGGUAGGGGAAUUCCAUGAGUAGGGGUUAAAUCCUUUAAUCCAUGGAGGACCACCAGUGGCGAAGGCGCCUACCUAGAACAAGUCCGACGGUGAGGGACGAAAGCGUGGGGAACGAAAAGGGAUUAGAUACCCUUGUAGUCCACGCCGUAAACGAUGCCCGCUUGAUGUUGCAAACUUUACGAGAGUUUGCAGUGUCGGAGUGUAAAUGUUAAGCGGGCCACCUGGGGAGUACGGCCGCAAGGCUAAAACUUAAGGGAAUUGGCGGGAGAGCACACAAGGGGUGUGAGCUGCGGUUUAAUUGGAAUCAACGCCGGU